rnacentral:sRNA from 1 species
CUGACGGUGCAGUAUCCUAGUCAGAACGACCAUUUUCCAGGAAGGGCCUAAAAAUCCUUUGAAGGGCAUAUCGAUGAAGUCCCUGGUGUUUGCUUUUUACGCCCAGUUUAGGGUGGAUGCUGGGGGUUAAGGAUCCCGGGCGCACUCCAAUGGCAUGGAGUAUCCGACCCGGCUUCCGUGGAGACCUGGUAUUUUGCGACGGCGGUAAGAUCCCCGGGCGGGGGCCCGUCCGCGUACGAGCCUGGUAUGAACCUGCAAGGCGGUGCACAGAAUCGUGUGCUGUGUGUAGUGUAGCCUGCCUUGAGUGAAUAUGAGGGGAAAGGGGAACAAGCGGCCGGCCGUUAUGGCCAUAGCGGCCGCCGGCAUCGCUCCUGGAAACCAUACUUGCAAAAGAGGCUAAGAUUAUGGGCUGUUCUGCCGUGGAAAACACCUAGGCUGUCGUAAUGGGGCAGACAGGGGAUUGCAGUACGGUCUCAGUGGCAAUCGGGUAUUCAAGACUGGCAACACUUGAACGGAAGAAUGAAACGGAAACGGCCUGCGCGGCAACGGCAGGCUUCUUCCGGGGAAAGCCAACCCGACCUAAGCCGUAAGAUUUAUCCUGUCUGCUGCCGUCUUUUAUCAUU